GCUUAGAGAGGGGUCAAUGUCCUAUCAGCUAGUUGGUAGGGUAAUGGCCUACCAAGGCUAAGACGGGUAGCCGGCCUGAGAGGGUGGUCGGCCACACUGGGACUGAGACACUGCCCAGACUCCUACGGGAGGCUGCAGUCGAGAAUCUUUCGCAAUGCCCGAAAGGGUGACGAAGCGACGCCGCGUGUGGGGAGAAGGCCUUCGGGUUGUAAACCACUGUCGGGAGUUAAGAAAUGUAAGGGUGUUAAUAGCAUCCUUACUUGACUAAGGCUCCGGAGGAAGCCACGGCUAACUCUGUGCCAGCAGCCGCGGUAAUACAGAGGCGGCAAGCGUUGUUCGGAAUUAUUGGGCGUAAAGAGCACGUAGGCGGCCUUGUAAGUCAGUUGUGAAAGCCUUCUGCUUAACGGAAGAACAGCAUCUGAUACUGCAAGGCUAGAGUACGGAAGGG
rnacentral:rRNA from 1 species